UACGGAGGUGGCAAGCGUUGCUCGGAAUUACUGGGCGUAAAGAGCGCGUAGGCGGUCCGGUACGACCUGUGUGAAAGCCCCCGGCUCAACUGGGGAGGGUCACGCGAUACUGGUCGACUCGAAGGCAGGAGAGGGUAGUGGAAUUCCCGGUGUAGUGGUGAAAUGCGUAGAUAUCGGGAGGAACACCAGUGGCGAAGGCGACUACCUGGCCUGUUCUUGACGCUGAGGCGCGAAAGCUAGGGGAGCAAACGGG
rnacentral:rRNA from 1 species